rnacentral:rRNA from 1 species
AUUGAACGCUGGCGGCAGGCCUAACACAUGCAAGUCGAGCGGAUGAAGGGAGCUUGCUCCUGGAUUCAGCGGCGGACGGGUGAGUAAUGCCUAGGAAUCUGCCUGGUAGUGGGGGAUAACGUCCGGAAACGGGCGCUAAUACCGCAUACGUCCUGAGGGAGAAAGUGGGGGAUCUUCGGACCUCACGCUAUCAGAUGAGCCUAGGUCGGAUUAGCUGGUUGGUGGGGUAAAGGCCUACCAAGGCGACGAUCCGUAACUGGUCUGAGAGGAUGAUCAGUCACACUGGAACUGAGACACGGUCCAGACUCCUACGGGAGGCAGCAGUGGGGAAUAUUGGACGAUGGGCGAAAGCCUGAUCCAGCCAUGCCGCGUGUGUGAAGAAGGUCUUCGGAUUGUAAAGCACUUUAAGUUGGGAGGAAGGGCAGUAAGUUAAUACCUUGCUGUUUUGACGUUACCAACAGAAUAAGCACCGGCUAACUUCGUG